rnacentral:rRNA from 1 species
AGUGAACGCUGGCGGUAGGCCUAACACAUGCAAGUCGAACGGCAGCACAGUAAGAGCUUGCUCUUACGGGUGGCGAGUGGCGGACGGGUGAGGAAUACAUCGGAAUCUACUUUUUCGUGGGGGAUAACGUAGGGAAACUUACGCUAAUACCGCAUACGCCCUACGGGUGAAAGCAGGGGAGCUUCGGACCUUGCGCGAUUGACUGAGCCGAUGUCGGAUUAGCUAGUUGGCGGGGUAAAGGCCCACCAAGGCGACGAUCCGUAGCUGGUCUGAGAGGAUGAUCAGCCACACUGGAACUGAGACACGGUCCAGACUCCUACGGGAGGCAGCAGUGGGGAAUAUUGGACAAUGGGCGCAAGCCUGAUCCAGCCAUACCGCGUGGGUGAAGAAGGCCUUCGGGUUGUAAAGCCCUUUUGUUGGGAAAGAAAAGCAGCAGGUUAAUACCCCGCUGUUCUGACGGUACCCAAAGAAUAAGCACCGGCUAACUUCGUG